rnacentral:rRNA from 1 species
ACGGGCGGUGAGUGCAACUGACGCUGAGGCUCGAAAGUGUGGGUAUCAAACAGGAUUAGAUACCCUGGUAGUCCACACAGUAAACGAUGAAUACUCGCGGUUGGUUCGUUAGAGUCAGCCGCCAAGCGAAAGCGUUAAGUAUUCCACCUGGGGAGUACGCCGGCAACGGUGAAACUCAAAGGAAUUGACGGGGGCCCGCACAAGCGGAGGAACAUGUGGUUUAAUUCGAUGAUACGCGAGGAACCUUACCCGGGCUUGAACUGCCAGUGACUCAUGCAGAGACGCAUGUUUCUUCGGACACUGGCGGAGGUGCUGCAUGGUUGUCGUCAGCUCGUGCCGUGAGGUGUCGGCUUAAGUGCCAUAACGAGCGCAACCCUUCUCCCUGUUUGCCAUCGGGUUAAGCCGGGCACUCCAGGGACACUGCCAUCGUAAGAUGUGAGGAAGGUGGGGAUGACGUCAAAUCAGCACGGCCCUUACGUCCGGGGCUACACACGUGUUACAAUGGGCGGUACAGAAAGCAGCUACCCCGCGAGGGGAUGCCAAUCUCAAAAACCGUUCUCAGUUCGGACUGGAGUCUGCAACCCGACUCCACGAAGCUGGAUUCGCUAGUAAUCGCGCAUCAGCCAUGGCGCGGUGAAUACGUUCCCGGGCCUUGUACACACCGCCCGU